rnacentral:rRNA from 1 species
GACGAACGCUGGCGGCGUGCCUAAUACAUGCAAGUUGAGCGCUGAAGGUUGGUACUUGUACCGACUGGAUGAGCAGCGAACGGGUGAGUAACGCGUGGGGAAUCUGCCUUUGAGCGGGGGACAACAUUUGGAAACGAAUGCUAAUACCGCAUAAAAACUUUAAACACAAGUUUUAAGUUUGAAAGAUGCAAUUGCAUCACUCAAAGAUGAUCCCGCGUUGUAUUAGCUAGUUGGUGAGGUAAAGGCUCACCAAGGCGAUGAUACAUAGCCGACCUGAGAGGGUGAUCGGCCAAAUUGGGACGGGGACACGGCCCAAACUCCUACGGGAGGCAGCAGUAGGGAAUCUUCGGCAAUGGACGAAAGUCUGACCGAGCAACGCCGCGUGAGUGAAGAAGGGUUUCGGAUCGUAAAACUCUGUUGGUAGAGAAGAACGUUGGUGAGAGUGGAAAGCUCAUCAAGUGACGGUAACUACCCAGAAAGGGACGGCUAACUACGUG